ensembl:lncRNA
AUGGAUUAUUUCCCACAGCCACUUUCCAUUUGCUUGCAGCAGGGCACAAAGUUUACAGGGACCAUGCAUCGCUGUGCUCAGGGCAAUGGGCGCAGAGGGCCCAUGGCUUCUAUCACCCAAAUGCAACAGAGGAGAGCUGCUGCUUUCCUGCCCUGCUCCUGGGUGCCAGCCCGCACUGGCUUAGCGUGGGGCUGCUUUCUCCCUCCUGGUUCUACACCCCAUGCAUCGUUUUCCAAAAGCAGAAAGGAAAAAGCCGCACCAAACCAUCCGCAAAGCAUCAGCAAAGAGGAGGGCCCAGCACAUGCCCCACGCACCGCACUGCUGACCCUGCUCAGCUACUCACGCUACAACACAACAACCGCAGCCUUCCCCUUCCUUUAUACCGCAGAGAGACCGUCAGCGCUCAGAACCGACCGUCCGACGGGCAGCGGGAGCCCCAGCUCCGAAAAGCGACAGCAAACAAAAAGCAGAGCAGGGGAAGGCCCCGGGGCGCUGGGACAGGCAGGCCGGGCCCCGCUCCGCUCCAUUCAUUUGGCCGAGCGAGGCAUCGCCGGGGCCGGCCGCCUUCCCCCCGGCCGGAUACGCGCUCACAAAGGUACCGCACGCUGCGCGGGCCGGCGGGGGCUCCAUUUCUCGCCUCGCUCGGAGCUUUUGGGUAAUAAUUAUUCACCGGCCCCGCCGCCACGAGCGGAGCCCGAUCGGCGCAGCUUUGUACGAGCCGCCGCCACGGCUCCAUCGCCGCCCGGCCCGGCUGCGGUGCCCCGCGCUGCCCCUGCCCGGCCGCAGCAUCCCGGGCACGGCCGCCUCCUUCCCUUCCAAAUCAACCGAAAUAAAAUAAUAGAGCGUUGGCGCGUGGCAGAUUUAUUCAGCGAGCGGCUUGAUUUAUUGAGCAGACUUGACACACAUCAAACCCUACUACGGGCUUACAUAAUUGUUAUCCGCUCGCGGCUCCGCUCCUUUUGUCAGACGCGUUCGCGAGAAGCGAUGCGACAACGGCCGCUGCCGCAGCCCGGCCCGGCUGCUCCCCACCUGCGGCGGAGCCUUUGUGCUCCUCGGCCCUUCCCGGCCGCCCCGCAGCCCCACGCGCGGCUCCGAGGCCGGGCCGCUCCGGGGCCGGGAGACGGUGACCGCCGCCCGCGGGGCCGGAGCGCGGCGCAGACAAUGCGGCGGCCCCGUCCUCGGGCAGCGCCUCCGGGCCGCUCCCGGUGCCCCGCUCGGCUCCGGGCCUACGGCGGCGGGACCCGCCCGGUGCCACCCACGAGGGGGACCGCGGCCGCCGGCGUCCCGCGUGCCCCGCACCCCCCGGCCCCGGGCCGCGCGCAGCCCCCUCCUCCUCGUUCUCCUCGUUCUCCUCCUCCUCCUCCCCCCCCGCCGCCCCCUCCUCCGCGCCCCCGCCCGCCUCGCGCCCCCCUUCGGCCGCUCCCGCCGCCGGGACUCACCUCGACGCCGGACCCGCACGGGAGGCGGCCGCCAGGGGCCGGGGGUCCCCCCGCCCGCCCGGCGGCGUCGGUGACGGCGUUGGCUCAAUGCGCGCCGAGCGCUUGCUCCAUGCGCCCCGGGCCCCGGCGCGCGCAGGUUGACCGCCCG